UGCAAUGGGGAGAUAUUGCACUUAAGACAGAUGUAGAGAACGGGACAGAAUACAUCAUAUACAACCAGGAAAGACAGACAAAAACACGCACUGGAGCAAAUCCACGAGACAUCAGAAAAUUCCAACCUAGGGCCUAUGGUAGCGUUGUGACGGAUGGAAUAGAUAACAACAAAGAUCCUGUAUUUUUAUAUAAAAUGUAUGCCAGUAAGAGACCUUCAGCCAUGAAUGAACCAGACAAGCCAUUCUUCCUAACAAUCAACCGUGAUGCAAAUCUUGACAAUCCUGUCAGCAGGUGGGUCUGACAAAUGACAGACGUCUGACUAACUACAGUGUGCGAAAGCGACUCGUUCAGAAGCUAAAUGACUCUGGUGUCCCACCAAAUCAGAUAGUUCAAAUAACAGGCCACAGGAAUGUCAACAGUCUGAAUAACUACAGCCGACUUAGUUCUGAACAAAGCAAGGAUAUCUCACAUGUCUUGUCAACGGGGAAUGAAAAUAGAUCUGCCAUGUGCACCGCAAGCAGGCCUCGAGAAAAUACCCCUGUCCCCGACAAAUCAUCCUCAACCACAGCACAAAAUAACCAUCUGUUUCCAAUAAUGGGUGGGCUUUUUUCUGGAGAAAAUACCACGUUUAAUUCAACGGUAAAUUUCCACUUUCACGGAAGUCAGCAGACAAUGCAGGCCAGUAACUCAAACUAUGUGAUCGGAGAAACAGCACAAAUAGCAAACAUGGCCGCGUCCGGGUCAGGGUACGGGAGAAAGUUCAAAAGAAUAAGGGCAAUAUCUGACAGUGACAGUGAGUAAGAAUGACUUACUUUUACAUGACUGGAAGUUUGAUAUCAUCAGGACUGAGGAGUAAACAAAAUCCGUGUGUUUGUCAGGACUUUCUCCCACUACUAGGCCUGCAGAACUGUUUCAUGUAGAUCUACACCAUUUUGGACUGAGCGCUCAUCGCGUAGUGAUCUGUUGUUUUGACGGGACUUUUUUGAAAUACUUUUUUUUUGACAAUGUUAUGGCAACAUUUGUAAAACAUAUAAACUAUGAUACAUAUUGAAGUAAAAGAAUUGAUUAAAAUAUUUUGUAAACUAGUUUUAUAUUUUUUUGGGAAUUUUUGUACUUUGGACUAUAUUUUGUCGCGUAGGAUUGUCUAGACAUGUAAGCGGUAAACGUAUGCAAACUUUCG